rnacentral:lncRNA from 1 species
UCAGACCUUGUCUAGAGGCUCAUCUAGGCAACAAAAAAGGGUUUAGCUUAGCAGUUGAGGGCAACACAUCAAGUUGAUGAUCAGUUGAAUGCAAUAGAUGAGCAGCGAGGAAAUAAAUUGUUCCAGUUUUUUAACUUAUUGUACUUGCAGGUAUAGGAUAUCUUUUUAGCUUGUUUUUAAAUGUUUCAGGAACAUAUGUCAUAUUUAUGUUGAAUGGAUAUGAAGAUUUAGAAUCAUUUUGUGCAAUUCAAGAAAAAGACUUGGAUUACUUGGGUAUCCUGGAUAUCGAACAACGAGCUUUAAUAUUAGCUGCAGUAGAAGUAAUGCACGGUUAUGAAUCUCCAGACAAUGGGGACAGUAGUGGAGACGAAUACAAUCCAGAAUCCUUUGACCAACAAAAUAAUCAUGAGCACUCAAGGUCGAAUAAUCUAGACUCGAACUUAUCAGAGACAUCAUCGGCGUCUACACGAACAAGCACGAAGAGCGAAAAUUCUCAUCCGAUGAUCAAAACCAGUGCAAACAAUGUCUCAUCAGUUGAAGUGACAGAGACGCAAGGGAGCAAUACUUAUCUACCAAACAUACCGUCAAAAACAAAUCAAAAGUCCAGUAGUAUAGUUGAAAUAACGAGCAGCGAUCUCAAAAGUAAUGAAAAAGUUGCAGUAGUCAAGUAUAUUUGUAAUCCUUCAGACUUGACCUGUGAAACCAAUAGCUCCAUAGUGAGAAACUCAGAGGAAAAUCAUGUCGUUCGACGCAACUCGAGCAAUUGCUGCACAUUUAGUGAAAAGUCCAGUGACUCAGGGAUUAGUAGUAGUUCUGUGUCCUCAUCAGCCCCUAAUCAAAACUCUGUGAUGAAAAUCAAACGCAAAAUUCAAACAACCAAUAACAUUAGUCCGGGAACUAAGGCAGCAUUAAUCGAGUCGCCAACAAGGAGUUAUGUCGGUCAUUUUGUAAUGGAUUCAAGAAAAAACUGAUAAAUUUGUGCUGCAAAAUCAAACAUCAGGAUUUUCUCCGACAAUGCCAUAUUUUUUUUAAAUAAGUCACUUCAAAAUAAGAACCAGGUGACUUUUUUAAAAAACUAUCCAUGUUGUUUUAUUUUUAUUUUGUCUGUGAUCUUCAGUAUUUAAGUUUAUAUUAAAAUAGAUUUUCCCUGAAGCCAAACAUUCCAUAAAUAUUUUGAACAAUGUUGUAUUUUCUCAAAAUUUCCUUUAUAAGGGGGUGUUAGGUAGCUGAAUGUAGACUAGGGUGUUCUUUACCCUUGUAAUUUUGCAUAAGUUGUGCAGAACAUUUUCGUAUGCAAAUGUUCUGCUAUAUAUUUGAAGAACUUAAGUUUCAUAAUUUCUAGUUUAACAAACUCUGCCAACUUGUCAGAUCAUUGAGUAAAAAAGAAAAUUGAAUUUUGUUCUAACCAAUCUUCUCAUUAGUGAAUUAUAUUUUGAAUGUACUCUUGAAAUAAUUGGAUGCAUUGCAAGAAACUACCUCAACAUCUUGGACGUUAAUUUGAGUACUAAGUCGUUUUACCACAGUAAUAUGUACUUUUACAUUGUUUGCUACCAAGGCUGCAUGAAAAUUUGAAUAUGUAGUGGGUUCAAGGGAGCAAUUUGAUGGUAGAUCUGCAGGAAUGUGUAUCUAGGUUUGCAACGUUGCAGACUUCCUGUCAUCGUUUUUUUUUUCCUUUAGAAAAUUACUCGACAUCAUCUUGUGGAAACGUCCCUAUUUUUUUUUCUCUGUAUGAAAAAAUUCUGUAAAAUUUCAAACCAUAGAGAUGGUCUGUUCUCAUUUGAUAAAAUUAAAUGUAAGCCAAAACACCCCAAACGAGAUAUGCGUCCCUGCAGUUUUACUGUCUAAUUCCAAGAUUUAGAUGAGAGGUUUGCUAUCUUGCAAAAAGCAGGUUUUAUUGGCAAUGCCGCUAUUUUUCACAAUUUUUUUCAGGAAAUUUAUCUCAAAUUUAUUUUCAUAAGAAUUACAUAGGAAACAGUGAAAAACUUAUUUUAACCUUGAUUGCAUAAUUUUGCUCUCCUGAGAAGUUCAGCUAAGUGGCUGAGGGCAAUUUUCUUGCAACACAUCAUAAAUGCAAUUUUUCUCCGAGUAAUUUAUUUGUAGACUGAUCAAUUUAUAUGAUCGAAUGAAUUUUAGCAAUAAUAAUGUGCUUUUGAUUGAAUUUACUUAAUCACCCAUGUGUUUUAAAGUGCCUGCCAUUUACCAGAUUAUGAUUUUUAUCAUUUGUUAUACAUAAUUGAUUUAGUUGAAAAAUACAGUUCUGAACUGUAGAACUUUACUACAUUCUGGUUAUUUUUAUGUAUUGAUAUUGACCUGAAAGGAAAACAUUCAGCAAUGAUGCUAAGAACUAUCUGCGUGAAUUGAUGCCCCAAUCUUGUGACAAUCCUAGGUAUACCUAAGUAAUUCUUUUCCAAAGCUGUCACAAUUGGAUUCAAAUUUUCAAGAGUGAAAUCCUUUUGCCUGCUGAUUCUUUUUUACGGUGCGUUUCUGGUCUCCACCUCUUGCCAGAUUAUGAGUGCAGCCAAGUUGUGUUUCAAGGAAAAAAAGUAAAAACGGGUUGGAAAUCAGAAUUUUAGGACAAAUAAACUCAUUUGUUCAAUCUUAAGGUUGCUAUUGUUAAAACCUCUCCGUUGAUUGCGUUUGCGUAUCACCUAAUACAGAAUAAUUUUUAUUUAUUUUCCUUUAUUUUCUUGUUUUGGAAACUCACAGUUUCUGAUUAUCAGAAGAAAACAUCCAAUUUUCUAAAGAUCCACAGUAUCAAUUUCAUUCAUAUGAAAGAGUAUUCUAUUAAACAUCUACCCGACAAAUCAGAAUGAAAUCCUCACCCAUUGGUCCAUGAUGCCAAAACUUUAUAUAGGCUCUCAAUUCUGCAACUGUCAUGAUUCUAGUCAAAUAUAUAUUGCUCAGAUACUUCAAGUUAAUAACUUAAGAAAUUCAUGCAUGCUCUCCCAUGAUUAUUAAAGAUGAAAAAUUACCAAAAAUUGCCAACUUAAUGAUUUGCUGCAUGUUGCUCUAGUCACAGAUCAUUCAUUGGUUGCAUGGCUGAUCGGUGGAAGGCUUGCUUUUAAAAUCAGUCUUGGGUGUGGCAUUGAAUCAAGAAAUACCCAGGAAAAUAUAAGUAUACUGAAAUUGUCCAAUUGAAUCCAAGGAACAUGAAAUGAUUCUCUGCAUGCAACAGAUAUUUUGAAUGCUUUUAAACUUAUUUUUGAACAACAAAACCCUAUUUAGAUAGUACUAAGUAAACCCGUUACAUUGAUAGUUUUGAAAAAUACCCAUGUGCAAUUAUGUAGGGCUGGUAACAUAUGCUAGAUAUGGAUGCUAAUGGAUUUUCAAAAAUUACAGCCUUAGGAACAAGAUCGAAAAUGGGGAGCACUCACGAGAACCUCCAAAGGUUCCAUCAUACUCUUUAGCUACAUAGGAAUUUUUGAUCUUUCCAUAGAUAAGAACCGUUUGCUUAGUGCAAUUUUCUCUUGAACACAGUUUAGCAAUAACUUGUACCGUUCAAAAGUUAGAAGCAUUCAACAAUUUGGACUUCGACCCCCCAUUCCCUGCUCCCCAGUAUUUAGGGCAAAAAAUCGACCAUUUUCUUCUCAGAUGAUCCUCUAUCAGCCCCCAAAAUAUGACUUGAUUCCCCGGGGGGGCCAAACACACCAAUUUUGAAUAGUGUCCUUUGCUCAUUCUUAGCACCGAGUGACUUAGCAUACACCCUUGAGCUGUCCAAGUCUCAUUGAGUAUUCUCUUUUCUCAACAACUAAAAUGUUUUUAUAUGUUUGCUGCCCAUUUUUGACAGUUUUAGGGAAUUUUCCCUCUGUUAUGUUUCUUUAUUGUUAUGUAAAUAAGAUAGUCAAUACUCAACCGCCAAAAAGUAUCAAACAGACUGUAAACAUGGUAACAACAUGUUCUGCAGUCAAAUCAAUUUGUACACAUUAUCAAUUUGUCAAAAUUAGACUUUAUCUAGUGUAUUGCAUUGUAUAUAAGAUUGAAUUUUCGCUGUUCACAUCCAUUUCCACAGCAUGGCCCCAAUUCCAAAAUAAAUGCCAGAAAAUUUAAGGGUCGCUUCUUGAGAUCAAAAUAAGAUUUUGCCCACAUGGCUCCAAAAUUCUUUCUGAGCUACAACAAUAUAACAGUUUGGAAAAUGUAUGGCUCCAAAAUGAUUAACUCCCCCUCACCUUCUCAGGUAGACCGUCAUGGAAUGUUUGUAUUUUCAUGUAAUUUUAAAUGCUGAGUCUAAACUUUUAUUUUAAAAAAUGCUUAGGGUAUGUGAAUUUUUCUUAAUAUAUAUAACAGAUUGAUUUCUAGGUACUUAAGCAAAUAUUUUUUUUCUACAUCAACCUGGGAGGUAAAUGGAACCCAUUUUUGGCUUUUUCAAAACGGGGUUUUCUUUGCCAUUUAGGGUUAAGAAAAUCUUUAAAGAUUUCUAGAAGCUUAGUUCACCCUGUUCAUAGUAAAAUUGAUUGAAAAAAAUGCAGGUGCCUCUUACCUCACUAAAAUACUUGCCGAAAACUACUGAAUCCCUGCAUACAUUCUGUAAGACUGAUAUGCUCUAUAAAUAACUGCAGAAGAACUUUUAAAUCAUUUUCUUCAGCUCUCUCUGAUUCUAUCAUUAAAGUGAAAUUUGUUAAGCAGAGAGCACAUUGACGGUCAUAAAUAUAAAUGGCCCCUUAAAAUAUUCACUGUGAGGUGUUCAUAGUGGAAUUCAGCUCCACGAGUUCUGUAGAAUGCCAAAUUCGACAGCCUAUCCAGGGAGAUACUUGAAAUUGUGAGCAAUUAUACUUAUUUUCUUCUGUUUCCAAAUCUUAGACAGUCGUAGCCCAGAGGAGUUUAAUUUUGUAAUCAUGUUGUAGCCAUUCAAGUUUAUUCUAGCCUCAAGAAUAGAUCCCUAAUUUCUUUGCUGUUAUUCUUAGGACAUUCUGUGUAAAUAUUUCUAGAUUUAUUAUUUUUAACAAUUUUGACAACUUUUGUAGCAAUGAAAUUUAUAUGUUAUAUUCUAAUUUAUAUUAAAUUGAUCUUCCAGAAAUUGUACCAGAUUUUUCUCUUUUAACAUUCGGUAGUGACUUUACCAUAGUUCGAAAUGAAACUUGCUAGACAAGAAAGAGUUGAAUCUAUGUUAAUUGAGACACUGGGUGCGAAAAGGGCACUUCUCUAUUGCAGUGUUUCAGAGUCUCCUCUAAUAUUUCAUUCAUUACAAGGAAAGUGAAUGCAUCCAUUUCAUUCAAAAUUUUACUGAAUAUUCCUCACGAUUCUACAAUUUCUAUGGAAAGAAUUCUGGAAAAAUCACCCAUUAAAGUCUUUUCUAUGGGAUUAAUUAGCAACAGAGAUUCUGAAACACUGCAGUUGGGAAAUGCCCUUUUUGCACCCAGUGUCUCAAUUUUAUGCAGCAACAUUAAAGGAGAAGAAAAUUAGUGCUCUCCUCGAUCAGUUAUCUGAUAUUGAGAAAUUUCAAAUGGAAAAAGGGAGCUAAGAAGUGUAAAAGAAUACUUUUAGACCCUCUUUUCUCGAAACUUGAGUGUUAUCAAGUUAAAUCUAUAAAGUUUAUUGUGCUCCAGAGGUUGUGAUAGAAUCAUUAAAAAAAAUAUUAAAAUUUAGCAGAUGUAUAAUCUCUGUGUAAUUCAAGUGAUUUCCUUUUCUAGAAUUUCUGUUAAUUAAUUUUCCAAAUAUGACGGAAAGUCUGCAAUAUAAUGCACGUUUUCAAGUAUAGCCAUCGAUGCUUUUUUAAAUGUUGGCAAACUCUUUAUCGAGGCAAACAAGAGGAUAAAGUAUUAUGUAAUCCAAAUUAAAGUAUUUGUUGAAUUUGUCAGAGAAGUUUAUUGGAAACAUUUUGGCUCCUUCCAACAAAUUUUGUGAAAUAUUAAUAACAAAAACAAAAGAACUACAAAGGUAAAAAGAUUUUUUUUAAAAUUAUAUGCA